GCCGGAGGCCACUGCUAUCGGGGUCCGACUAAGCCAUGCGAGUCAAGGGGCGCUUGCGCGCACCGGCACACGGCUCAGUAACACGUCGGUAACCUACCCUCGGGAGGGGGACAACCCCGGGAAACUGGGGCUAAUCCCCCAUAGGUUUGGGGCGCUGGAAAGCCCCCAAACCGAAAGCUCCGGCGCCCGAGGAUGGGCCGGCGGCCGAUUAGGUAGUUGGUGGGGUAACGGCCCACCAAGCCGACAAUCGGUACGGGCAGUGAGAGCUGGAGCCCGGAGAUGGACACUGAGACACGGGUCCAGGCCCUACGGGGCGCAGCAGGCGCGAAACCUCCGCAAUGCGGGAAACCGCGACGGGGGGACCCCGAGUGCCGUGGACAACCACGGCUUUUCCGGAGUGUAAGAAGCUCCGGGAAUAAGGGCUGGGCAAGGCCGGUGGCAGCCGCCGCGGUAAUACCGGCGGCCCAAGUGGUGGCCACUAUUAUUGGGCCUAAAGCGUCCGUAGCCGGGCCUGUAAGUCCCUGGCGAAAUCCCACGGCUCAACCGUGGGGCUUGCUGGGGAUACUGCAGGCCUAGGGACCGGGAGAGGCCGGGGGUACUCCUGGGGUAGGGGUGAAAUCCUAUAAUCCCAGGAGGACCGCCAGUGGCGAAGGCGCCCGGCUGGAACGGGUCCGACGGUGAGGGACGAAGGCCAGGGGAGCAAACCGGAUUAGAUACCCGGGUAGUCCUGGCUGUAAAGGAUGCGGGCUAGGUGUUGCCUGGACCCCGAGUCCAGGCAGUGCCGCAGGGAAGCCGUUAAGCCCGCCGCCUGGGGAGUACGGCCGCAAGGCUGAAACUUAAAGGAAUUGGCGGGGGAGACACUACAAGGGGUGGAGCGUGCGGUUUAAUUGGAUUCAACGCCGGGAACCUCACCGGGGGCGACGGCAGGAUGAAGGCCAGGCUAAAGGUCUUGCCGGACACGCCGAGAGGAGGUGCAUGGCCGCCGUCAGCUCGUACCGUGAGGCGUCCACUUAAGUGUGGUAACGAGCGAGACCCGCACCCCCAGUUGCCAGCCCUCCCCGCCGGGGAGGAGGCACUCUGGGGGGACUGCCGGCGAUAAGCCGGAGGAAGGAGCGGGCGACGGUAGGUCAGUAUGCCCCGAAACCCCCGGGCUACACGCGCGCUACAAUGAGCGGGACAAUGGGAACCGACCCCGAAAGGGGAAGGGAAUCCCCUAAACCCGCUCCCAGUUCGGAUUGCGGGCUGCAACUCGCCCGCAUGAAGCUGGAAUCCCUAGUACCCGCGUGUCAUCAUCGCGCGGCGAAUACGUUCCCUGCUCCUUGCACACACCGCCCGUCACUCCACCCGAGCGGGGUUUGGAUGAGGCCUCGUCCGCUGGGCGGGGUCGAUCCCAGGUCCGUGAGGGGG
rnacentral:rRNA from 1 species